CCUACGGGGGGCUGCAGUGGGGAAUAUUGGACAAUGGGCGAAAGCCUGAUCCAGCCAUGCCGCGUGUGUGAAGAAGGCCUUCGGGUUGUAAAGCACUUUCAGUGGGGAAGAAAGCCUUGGGGCUAAUACCCUCGAGGAAGGACAUCACCCACAGAAGAAGCACCGGCUAACUCCGUGCCAGCAGCCGCGGUAAUACGGAGGGUGCGAGCGUUAAUCGGAAUUACUGGGCGUAAAGCGCGCGUAGGCGGUCUGAUAAGCCGGUUGUGAAAGCCCCGGGCUCAACCUGGGAACGGCAUCCGGAACUGUCAGGCUAGAGUGCAGGAGAGGAAGGUAGACUUCCCGGUGUAGCGGUGAAAUGCGUAGAGAUCGGGAGGAAUACCAGUGGCGAAGGCGGCCUUCUGGACUGACACUGACGCUGAGGUGCGAAAGCGUGGGUAGCAAACAGGAUUAGAUACCCCGGUAGUC
rnacentral:rRNA from 1 species